rnacentral:rRNA from 1 species
UGGUGAAUAUUGGACAAUGGGCGCAAGCCUGAUCCAGCCAUUCCGCGUGCAGGACGAAGGCCUUCGGGUUGUAAACUGCUUUUGUACGGAACGAAAAGCCCUUCUCUAAUACAGAGGGGUCAUGACGGUACCGUAAGAAUAAGCACCGGCUAACUACGUUCCAGCAGCCGCGGUAAUACGUAUGGUGCAAGCGUUAAUCGGAAUUACUGGGCGUAAAGCGUGCGCAGGCGGUUUUGUAAGACAGAGGUGAAAUCCCCGGGCUCAACCUGGGAACUGCCUUUGUGACUGGAAGGCUAGAGUGCGGCAGAGGGGGAUGGAAUUCCGCGUGUAGCAGUGAAAUGCGUAGAUAUGCGGAGGAACACCAAUGGCGAAGGCAGCCAACUAAGCAAUGAUUGACGCUGAGGCACGAAAGCGUGGGGAUCAAACA